rnacentral:rRNA from 1 species
UACGUAGGGUGCAAGCGUUGUCCGGAAUUAUUGGGCGUAAAGAGCUCGUAGGCGGUUUGUCGCGUCUGCUGUGAAAACCCGAGGCUCAACCUCGGGCCUGCAGUGGGUACGGGCAGACUAGAGUGCGGUAGGGGAGAUUGGAAUUCCUGGUGUAGCGGUGGAAUGCGCAGAUAUCAGGAGGAACACCAAUGGCGAAGGCAGAUCUCUGGGCCGUAACUGACGCUGAGGCGCGAAAGCUAGGGGAGCGAACGGG